AUUGAACGCUGGCGGCAUGCCUUACACAUGCAAGUCGAACGGCAGCACGGGUGCUUGCACCUGGUGGCGAGUGGCGAACGGGUGAGUAAUACAUCGGAACAUGUCCUGUAGUGGGGGAUAGCCCGGCGAAAGCCGGAUUAAUACCGCAUACGAUCUACGGAUGAAAGCGGGGGACCUUCUGGCCUCGCGCUUUAGGGUUGGCCGAUGGGUGAUUAGCUAGUUGGUGGGGUAAAGGCCUACCAAGGCGACGAUCAGUAGCUGGUCUGAGAGGACGACCAGCCACACUGGGACUGAGACACGGCCCAGACUCCUACGGGAGGCAGCAGUGGGGAAUUUUGGACAAUGGGCGAAAGCCUGAUCCAGCAAUGCCGCGUGUGUGAAGAAGGCCUUCGGGUUGUAAAGCACUUUUGUCCGGAAAGAAAACCUUGGCCCUAAUACGGUCGGGGGAUGACGGUACCGGAAGAAUAAGCACCGGCUAACUACGUG
rnacentral:rRNA from 1 species